UACGAAGGGGGCUAGCGUUGCUCGGAAUCACUGGGCGUAAAGGGUGCGUAGGCGGGUCUUUUAAGUCAGGGGUGAAAUCCUGGAGCUCAACUCCAGAACUGCCUUUGAUACUGAGGAUCUUGAGUUCGGGAGAGGUGAGUGGAACUGCGAGUGUAGAGGUGAAAUUCGUAGAUAUUCGCAAGAACACCAGUGGCGAAGGCGGCUCACUGGCCCGGAACUGACGCUGAGACGCGAAAGCGUGGGGGAGCAACAGGG
rnacentral:rRNA from 1 species